rnacentral:tRNA from 1 species
CGGGGCGUGGCGCAGGGGUAGCGCAUUGGCAUGGGGGGCCAAAGGUCGCCGGUUCAAAUCCGGUCGCCCCGA